rnacentral:rRNA from 1 species
UUCCGGUUGAUCCUGCCGGAGGCUACUGCUAUCGGAAUUCGAUUAAGCCAUGCGAGUCGAGAGGGUUCGGCCCUCGGCUGACUGCUCAGUAACACGUGGAUAACUUGCCCUCAGGUAGGGGAUAAUCUCGGGAAACUGAGGAUAAUACCCUAUAGGCAUCCUUCGCUGGAAUGCUUGGAUGUUCAAAGGCGACGCCUGAGGAUGGGUCUGCGGCCUAUCAGGUAGUAGUGGGUGUAACGGACCCACUAGCCCACGACGGGUACGGGCCUUGAAAGAGGUAGCCCGGAGAUGGACUCUGAGACACGAGUCCAGGCCCUACGGGGUGCAGCAGGCGCGAAAACUUCGCAAUGCGGGAAACCGUGACGAGGGAAUCCCGAGUGCUCAUACAAUGUAUGGGCUUUUCUGAUGUGUAAAAAGUAUUAGGAAUAAGGGCUGGGUAAGACCGGUGCCAGCCGCCGCGGUAAUACCGGCAGCUCUAGUGGUAGCCACUUUUAUUGGGCCUAAAGCGUCCGUAGCCGGUCAGGUAAAUCCUUGGGUAAAUCGUACAGCUUAACUGUGCGGCUUCCGUGGAGACUGCUUGACUUGGGACCGGGAGAGGUUGGAGGUACUCCUGGGGUAGGGGUGAAAUCCUGUAAUCCUAGGUGGACCACCGGUGGCGAAGGCGUCCAACCAGAACGGCUCUGACGGUGAGGGACGAAGGCUAGGGGCGCAAACCGGAUUAGAUACCCGGGUAGUCCUAGCUGUAAACGCUGCAGACUUGGUGUUGGAGAUCCUGCGAGGGUGUCCAGUGCCGGAGAGAAGUUGUUAAGUUUGCCGCCUGGGAAGUAUGGGCCGCAAGGCUGAAACUUAAAGGAAUUGGCGGGGGAGCACCGCAACGGGAAGG